CUCAUGAGAUCUACCAUCUAGUGGUCAUUACAUUUAUGCCAUGUGAUGUAUAAUCUUUCUGAACAUUUUAAUUUUCCAAACUUUUUAUUACUCAUACCUUAUUAAUCAUACCCCCCUUUUAAACUGUUUAAUAAUCUGGAGGUAUAACCUAAUCACAUGUCAGAUGUUACAACUAAAUAUUGUUUUCCACUAUACGUUAGCAAUAGCAGCCAUCUUGUCUUAACACUGGCACCAUUUUGUCACAUGAAACAAACUACAAAAACAUAUAUUGUUUCCUACAUCAAAUGUAUUUGUAAAUCUAGGUUUUAUCCUAUCAAAACUUUUGUCUUCUAUAUAAUCAAAACAUAUGUAUGUCCAGGCUUUGCAAAAUAUAGUAAUCCAUUAUCAGUCAUGAUAUUAAAAUCUCAUUCUCAUGAAUUAAAUCAAAGAUUUUAAAUCAACCUCAGAAGUAACAACAUUGUUUUUUCCUUCUGUAAAAUGAUUGGAGUUACUGUAU